UCUACUUCGAGUCUUAACUUG
rnacentral:piRNA from 1 species